UAAUAGCGUAUUUUAAAGUUGUUGCAGUUAAAACGCUCGUAGUUGGACUUGAGAGUUUCGUUGUGUGGUUGGUCCGCGUUAAGUGAGUACUGCCACGCCGGCUCUUCCUUAUGAGAUACUCCCUGUCUCACUUCGUUGGGGGGCAGGAGCAGGCGCGGGGCUGUGCCGGCAACGGUGUGGCGUCGUGUUGGGUUCUCAUUCGUUUACUUUGAAUAAAUUAGAGUGUUCAAAGCAGGCUAUUUUCAAUUGCCUUGAAUAAUCUAGCAUGGGAUAAUGGAAUAGGCUGUCGGCUUAUUUCGUUGGUUUCUAAGCCAGACAGAAUGAUUAAGAGGGACAGUUGGGGGUUUUCGUAUUCAAUUGUCAGAGGUGAAAUUCUUGGAUUUGUUGAAGACGAACUACUGCGAAAGCAUCAACCAAGGAUGUUUUCAUUAA
rnacentral:rRNA from 1 species